UACGAAGGGGGCUAGCGUUGCUCGGAAUUACUGGGCGUAAAGCGCACGUAGGCGGCUUUCUAAGUCGGGGGUGAAAUCCUGGAGCUCAACUCCAGAACUGCCUUCGAUACUGGAGAGCUUGAGUCCGGGAGAGGGUGAGUGGAACUGCGAGUGUAGAGGUGAAAUUCGUAGAUAUUCGCAAGAACACCAGUGGCGAAGGCGGCUCACUGGCCCGGUACUGACGCUGAGGUGCGAAAGCGUGGGGAGCAAACAGG
rnacentral:rRNA from 1 species